GACGAACGCUGGCGGCGUGCCUAACACAUGCAAGUCGAGCGGAGCGGCGGACGGGUGAGUAAUGCCUAGGAAUCUGCCUGGUAGUGGGGGAUAACGUCCGGAAACGGGCGCUAAUACCGCAUACUAUCAGAUGAGCCUAGGUCGGAUUCGCUAGUUGGUGGGGUAAAGGCCUACCAAGGCGACGAUCCGUAACUGGUCUGAGAGGAUGAUCAGUCACACUGGAACUGAGACACGGUCCAGACUCCGACGGGAGGCAGCAGUGGGGAAUAUUGGACAAUGGGCGAAAGCCUGAUCCAGCCAUGCCGCGUGUGUGAAGAAGGUCUUCGGAUUGUAAAGCACUUCAAGUGAGGAGGCGGUACCAGCAGAAUAAGCACCGGCUAACUUCGUGCCAGCAGCAGCGGUAAUAA
rnacentral:rRNA from 1 species